UACAGCAUUAUCUCUUCAAGCUGAUGACCCUUGUUUUGUACUUGAGAUAUAGGGCAGUUGUUAGCCUAGAGGUUACAGCAUUAUCUCUUCAAGCUGAUGACCCUUGUUUUGUACUUGAGAUAUAGGGCAGUUGUUAGCCUAGAGGUUACAGCAUUAUCUCUUCAAGCUGAUGACCCUUGUUUUGUACUUGAGAUAUAGGGCAGUUGUUAGCCUAGAGGUUACAGCAUUAUCUCUUCAAGCUGAUGACCCUUGUUUUGUACUUGAGAUAUAGGGCAGUUGUUAGCCUAGAGGUUACACCAUUAUCUCUUCAAGCUGAUGACCCUUGUUUUGUACUUGAGAUAUAGGGCAGUUGUUAGCCUAGAGGUUAAAGCAUUGUCUCUUCAAGCUGACGACCUUUGUUUUGUACUGGAGAUAUAGGGCAGUUGUUAGCCUAGAGGUUAAAGCAUUGUCUCUUCAAGCUGAUGACCUUUGUUUUGUACUGGAGAUAUAGAGCAGUUGGUUAGCCUAGAGGUUAAAGCGUUGUCUCUUCAAGCUGAUGACCUUUGUUUUGUACUGGAGAUAUAGGGCAGUUGUUAGUCUAGAGGUUAUAGCAUUGUCUCUUCAAGCUUAUGACCUUUGUUUUGUACUUGAGAUAUAGGGCAGUUGUUAGCCUAGAGGUUAAAGCAUUGUCUCUUCAAGCUGAUGACCUUUGUUUUGUACUGGAGAUAUAGGGCAGUUGUUAGCCUAGAGGUUAAAGCAUUGUCUCUUCAAGCUGAUGACCCUUGUUUUGUACUUGAAAUAUAGGGCAGUUGUUAGCCUAGAGGUUAAAGCAUUGUCUCUUCAAGCUGAUGACCCUUGUUUUGUACUUGAGAUAUAGGGCAGUUGUUAGCCUAGAGGUUAAAGCAUUGUCUCUUCAAGCUGAUGACCUUUCUUUUGUACUGGAGAUAUAGGGCAGUUGUUAGCCUAGAGGUUAAAGCAUUGUCUCUUCAAGCUGAUGACCCUUCUUUUGUACUGGAGAUAUAGGGCAGUUGUUAGCCUAGAGGUUAAAGCAUUGUCUCUUCAAGCUGAUGACCUUUGUUUUGUAGUGGAGAUGAAGGGCAGUUGUUAGCAUAGAGGUUAAAGCAUUGUCUCUUCAAGCUGAUGACCCUUGUUUUGUACUGGAGAUAUAGGGCAGUUGUUAGUCUAGAGGUUAAAGCGUUGUCUCUUCAAGCUGAUGACCCUUGCUUUGUACUUGAGAUAUAGGGCAGUUGUUAGCCUAGAGGUUAAAGCAUUGUCUCUUCAAGCUGAUGACCCUUCUUUUGUACUGGAGAUAUAGGGCAGUUGUUAGUCUAGAGGUUAAAGUAUUGUCUCUUCAAGCUGAUGACCCUUAUUUUGUAGUGGAGAUAUAGGGCAGUUGUAAGUCUAGAGGUUAAAGCGUUGUCUCUUCAAGCUGAUGACCCUUCUUUUGUACUGGAGAUAUAGGGCAGUUGUUAGUCUAGAGGUUAAAGCGUUGUCUCUUCAAGCUGAUGACCCUUCUUUUGUACUGGAGAUAUAGGGCAGUUGUUAGUCUAGAGGUUAAAGCGUUGUCUCUUCAAGCUGAUGACCCUUCUUUUGUACUGGAGAUAUAGGGCAGUUGUUAGUCUGGAGGUUAAAGCGUUGUCUCUUCAAGCUGAUGACCCUUGCUUUGUACUUGAGAUAUAGGGCAGUUGUUAGCCUAGAGGUUAAAGCAUUGUCUCUUCAAGCUGAUGACCCUUCUUUUGUACUGGAGAUAUAGGGCAGUUGUUAGUCUAGAGGUUAAAGUAUUGUCUCUUCAAGCUGAUGACCCUUGUUUUGUACUGGAGAUAUAGGGCAGUUGUUAGUCUAGAGGUUAAAGCGUUGUCUCUUCAAGCUGAUGACCCUUGCUUUGUACUUGAGAUAUAGGGCAGUUGUUAGCCUAGAGGUUAAAGCAUUGUCUCUUCAAGCUGAUGACCCUUCUUUUGUACUGGAGAUAUAGGGCAGUUGUUAGUCUAGAGGUUAAAGCAUUGUCUCUUCAAGCUGAUGACCCUUAUUUUGUACGGAGAUAUAGGGCAGUUGUUAGUCUAGAGGUUAAAGCGUUGUCUCUUCAAGCUGAUGACCUUUCUUUUGUACUGGAGAUAUAGGGCAGUUGUUAGUCUAGAAGUUAAAGCAUUGUCUCUUCAAGCUGAUGACCUUUCUUUUGUACUGGAGAUAUAGGGCAGUUGUUAGUCUAGAGGUUAAAGUAUUGUCUCUUCAAGCUGAUGACCCUUAUUUUGUACUGGAGAUAUAGGGCAGUUGUUAGCCUAGAGGUUAAAGCAUUGUCUCUUCAAGCUGAUGACCUUUGUUUUGUACUGGAGAUAUAGGGCAGUUGUUAGUCUAGAGGUUAAAGCAUUGUCUCUUCAAGCUGAUGACCUUUGUUUUGUACUGGAGAUAUAGGGCAGUUGUUAGUCUAGAGGUUAAAGCAUUGUCUCUUCAAGCUGAUGACCUUUCUUUUGUACUGGAGAUAUAGGGCAGUUGUUAGUCUAGAGGUUAAAGUAUUGUCUCUUCAAGCUGAUGACCCUUAUUUUGUACUGGAGAUAUAGGGCAGUUGUUAGUCUAGAAGUUAAAGCAUUGUCUCUUUAAGCUGAUGACCUUUGUUUUGUACUGGAGAUAUAGGGCAGUUGUUAGUCUAGAGGUUAAAGCAUUGUCUCUUCAAGCUGAUGACCUUUGUUUUGUACUGGAGAUAUAGGGCAGUUGUUAGUCUAGAGGUUAAAGCAUUGUCUCUUCAAGCUGAUGACCUUUCUUUUGUACUGGAGAUAUAGGGCAGUUGUUAGUCUAGAGGUUAAAGUAUUGUCUCUUCAAGCUGAUGAAGAGUAGCUCAUUGUAGUGGUGUAUCCUCUGAAUAUUUUUUGACUGGCAUCUGGCAUCUGGCAUCUGGCACCAACAUGACACUGAUUUUCAAUAUGGACACUAGGACUGCUUUUGACCAAAAGUUUCGCAGCUAGUGUGUAUGUGCUUGAAUGUACAGCCUGUAAGUAAAAGUGUUUGGACCAGACAAGCCAGUGAUAUGCCAUGGGCAAUGUCCAUACCUUUAGGGAAUGAUGACACAAAAUCACCAAGCAUGACAACCAGUUUAGUUUAGUCACACCUUGCAACAAAUACAGGUUACCCCCAGUGCCUAUUCUAUCCUGGAAUCUCCAUAGAAUAACCGAUAAAAGAAGAUACAGACAUGACAGGAACCCUGAAAAUGUAUUUCUAUGUAUUGGCAUUAGUUUUGUCUACCUUCACUGUCAUUAGUAUCUCAUGGAGAUGUAGCUUUGUUCGCCCUCUUCUUGGUGUGUUGUUCUUCUAAAAGUAAUUUUAUCAUGCAUCAUUAAAAUUCUCAGAUUGGAUUAUUUCAACAGAGUAAACCUGAAAACGACAUGGAGUAUUCCUUUUUUAAUGAGAUGGCAUAGUUUUUCACUUUCACAUAGCUGUCAGUGUUCAAAAUGAGAAAAAUUGCCAGGCUGCCACUAGGACCCAGACUUUAAAAGAUGCAGGCCCUGACUAUACUCGUGAGGCCCUGACUAUACUCGUGAGGCCCUCAUUUAUAAGAAACUGGAACAAAAUCAUGUAAAUGAACUUCAGGCCAUAAGAACUCAUACAACUUUAAAUCACGCCGAUAGGAGAUCUACCUGCGCCUUCAUAGACUUUAUGCUAGUGUUUCUCGAAUGGAAAACAGAACAUAUUUUGUUUUGUAUUUACAGUGGUUUGUCACUAACAUCACUGUAACUAACUAAUGCUCUUUUGAAAUAAUCCAAGUUGAGAAUUUCGCGUUUUAUAUCACAAUCCAACAUGUUAUGAAGGACUUUUCUUGAGCACACUAUGGUUCCCCCUGCUCUGCCUUUUAUAAUGUAGAGGUCAGGUCAGUAAGGUGACUGUGAAGUGGUGGUAAUAUGUUUCAUAUUAAAAAAAGAGAAUAAUUCAGUUCCAGACAUGAAAGAGGAAACGUAUUAUUAUGAAAGAUAGCCAAGGUGUAACGUAUUCAACAGAUGUCGGGAGUAUAUAAACUCUUACGGGCAUUUAAUCAAUCGUUAGAUAUAACCAUGCAUUGUGAAACAACAUAACCUUAUGGAUAAAUUUAACGUAUAGUUAACGCUGAAAUAACAAGGUUAACUGGUUAACAAGGCUUUGAACUGGUCCGAGGAGGUCAAAAUGGCCGACACGAUAAACUUGACGGGAGAGAGUUCCAAAGUUGUUAAUGAAUAGGUUGAUUACUUGGACGAGCUUUGAAAGGUGAUUACAAAGACGAAUAUUACUGAGGUUAAUUCAUAGAUUGCUGUAGACUGUCACUGUCAGCCUAGAUAGUUUGGAUAUGCCUUUCAUCGUUUACUUCACAAGGAUGGGUCGUUGCGCGGAUAUUCGUAAACGGACAUGCACUCAAACUCUCCGACGUUUCUCAAUGCAUUCCAAACCGCUGAGUUCAAGAUUAAAGGGUCUUAAUGAUCAGAAACUUCAUAUUGAAAAAAAUAUUUCAUGAUAAAACUUUGUGUAACGCUCUCUGAACGAUUCACCCAAACGAUACGAAAGGGUGUACGCAUUUUAGUAAGAAUGUUUUGUUCUGGCAAGGCGAAUACAAACAUAUUGACAUCAAUUCUAAAAAGAAUAUUGGCAUUGUGCGUGUCUCAGUUCCUGACUGUUGUGGAUGCUAUGUGUAAGGUGAAUAACGUGUCAUUCUCUGAUUCAGGCAGAUCAGUUAUAUGCUUGCAUCCAAAGAAACAAGUAUGUGGCCUAAUGUGUUAGCGGGAUGGGCAAAUGCCAGUCUCCUGGACAUGUGUAACCUUCCCGAUUAAAGCCAAUAUCAAGUAUAAUUGUGGACAUGAAGGCAAACAAUGUUUUCAUUGUAAAUGUGAUAAAUCACCAUUACGUCAUACUUCAUUGAUCAGUACCCAAUACCUGCUGGUUGCUAGGUAACGGGUAUCACGAAGCUCACACAGCCUAUUGAAAACCUGUCACACUUAUGAAAGCGAUAAAUUUUGAGAUAUGAAUAGCUUUGUAUUAGGAAAUGUCUCAAAGAAUGGCAUUGAUGUAUGAAACCAGCUUGUUAUAAUCGUGGAAGUCUCGUUGGAUCAUUUUGGACCUUGGCGAACUGAAUAUGCACGCUGGUCUGCUACAGAGAAUGGCUACAGGACCAACUACAGAUAAUGGCUACAGGGGUUCGUUGCUGACAUUUGGCAAAUGUUUCAAUAGAUUUGAAAGCAAUACACGAGAUUGUUUACGUUUCCUAAUACUGGCACGUGCUGCAAAGGUCCGCUUUCUUAUCAGUAAAUUGUUUGUGCGAAGUAGUUAACACUGACGGGAGCCACACCACCAGUACUAUUCGAAAAAAAAGAAACUUAUGUCCAACUUUGUCACGUGUUUGGUUUGUUGGUCUCUUGUUUUGUUUGUUGUUUAACGCCGCAAUCAGCAAUAUUUCAGCUAUAUGACGGCGGUCUGUAAAUAAUGGACCAGACAAUCAAGUGAUUGACAUCAUGAGCCUCGAUCCCGUUAGUCACCUCUUACAACAAGCAUACUCGCCUCUUACGGCAAGCAUGGGUUGCUGAAGACCAGUUCUAACCCGGAUUAUCACGGGUCUGUUGGUCUGCGACUCAGUCAGGCGUUAUAUUGAUAAUUACGUGUUGAUGGCCGCCGACAUCGACCUUACUUACCGAGUCGACAAAGGAACAUAUUCAUUAUAUCAUUAAAACGUCUUUUUAUUUGGACACUCCCUUCCAGAAAGUCUUUCUUUACUACAGAGGACAUAGGGAACACUAGACUACAAUACAAGACCACUCCCCACAUGACGAUAUAGCAAGAACGGGUAAUGGUGUUGGGUAGACUAACAUUUAGUCUCUGAAAUCUUAUAUUACACAAUAUCCUUCUUGACUCUAAAAAUAAAAUAAAAAUUCCCUAUGCUGAUUUGAGCUGGCUGGACUUGCUUUUGUAUGCGUUUCUAGAUUAUUUUGUUUUCAUAAAAUAAAUGUAUUCCAUGGUCAUGUUGCAGGACUAGGUGUCGGGCUAUAUCCAACAAUAACAUGGGGUAGGGUAGUCGCUAUGCAGAGUAGUGGCCCUUGGGCCCCCAUAAACAUUUGAUCGUCAGUUCGAAUCCCGGUCCGCCCCUAUUAUGUUUUUAGGUCUGGCUGCACCAUACCCAUGCUCGUGGGAUUUACAAAAGUAGAAAACGCCUUACACCUGCAUCACUUCGAGCUUUUCUGACACAUUAAACUGACUCGUCGUGAUAUAACUUGAAAACCCAUCAAGGCGGCGUUAAGCUCAACUCUGUCACUCUCUCCAUCAAUAAUAAAGCAGUUGGCCCAGCACCUGAUCACUAAUCACAAGAAAUGUGUAAAAAUUCCGAUAUAUACACUGUAUACAGAUGCGCUGCACGUACACGUGCACAAUGUGAUAUAUGGAUGCGGUACAAGUAAUACAAUGGAGAAGUGGUAACGUUAUCGGCUGCUCAAGGUACAAUGUUAUACUUCUUGGCUUCGAGUGGCAUUGUUUUGGAGGCGGUAUCUGUCUCCCGUCGGUCACGUGGACGUUCCUAUGACAGCUAUGGAGCCAGGUGAAGAGAGCUACUUCAAUAUCGUUUCACCACCGACAGCUGCAGUCAAAUCACAAUUUGGGAUGGCAUGUCGAGAUAAUGUCAUUAAUGACCUAUUUCACUGUAGAUAACAUGCUAUGUGUAAAUUCCACUUACAUUUUAUCCUCUACAUCAAAAUAUAUGUAAAUAUGCUUAUUUUUAUUGCCGAGUGUGGCGUCAAAAAACAAACAAACAAAACAACGCCAUACCUGUUCAUUUACCAUUUGUUAUGUUCUGUCAAUGAAACAAGCAUUUGAAUUAAAAAUACACCGAUCACUUCGACGUGCUUCCGAUAAAGGGAAGCAAAAGUCCCCUGCGGUCAGUGAAAUUUGGUAAAAUAAACAAGUGACAGUCCUUCCCAUGUUUAUUGCUGCUUUGCAAAAGAACGUUAUCUAAAAUGAUAUAGACUUCGGUGGUACUAAAUAUAAACCGGUAUUUCACCAAUGAUUUCAUUAAGAAGUCGAUCGGGUAUCCAGAGAGUUUAUGAGAAGUUUUAGUGAUAAAUUACGCUUGUUAGACUUGCACAUAUUUCUAUCGUGGACAUAUUGGGAUCUUUAUGGAAUGUUUCCCAUCUCGUAGAUCAAAGACAGCAUGGGGCUCUGUUGGGGUGCGGGAUUCAUGACCACGUUGUGAUUAAUGAGAAACAGCAGCAUUUCGUUAGCAAAGCUGACCUUUCAUGAAAAGCACCGGCUAUAGCAGAAAUGUUGUGUUCUUUUAUGAAUUUUUUUAUUAGCCAUGCUGUCACACAAUUCUGAAAGAAAUUUGUAAAAUUGAAUAUCUUUGCCAUUAACUAAAGAUAUCAUCUCAGAUUUAAGCAACGGUUGUGACGUCUUUUUGUCCACCAAAGGUCGGUGGGGUAGCCUAGUGGUUAAAGCGUUUGCUCGUCACGCCUAAGCCCCUUGUUGGAUUCUCUAGGUGGGUAGUGAGAGUGAAGCAUAUUGCUGGUGUCCGGCGUCAUGAUAUUGCCGAAAACCAAACUCACUCAUUCCAUACUCGAAAACAUUUCCCUUUUAAAUAAUUUGCCCGGAUCCGGUGAUCGGGGGUCCAGAUCGCCGUGAAAAAGAAGCUACUUGGUCCUCCCAGCUGACACGAUAUGGCUGAUAUAUACUGUUCAAAACGCCGUUAAACCAAUUCACUCAUUCACCCCUAAUGAGUGUGCUGCCGACUUGUAUCCUGUAUGUAAUCACACCGUACCUAUUCUACAUAGCGCACAUGCAUUUAAUGUUGUGACUGGUCCAGAUUAUUUACGGACCGCCGUCAUAUAGCUGGAAUAUUGUUGUGUGCGGCGUUAAACAACAAACAAACAAACAAACAAACAUUUCUUCUGUUGAUGUGUGAAUGUAUCGUUAUUGUUGGUUGUUCAUACAUCUUUCAAUUUUUGAUAAACACCAUAAGACGGCAAUCGUGUCAUUCUUGCCUGAUACACCCAUCUCAUUCUAUUACUCUACUAUAUAUAUGUUUGCAAUAUUCCAGAUAUAUGACGAUGGCCUCUAAAAAAUCGAGCAUGGACCAGACUAUCAGGUGAUAGAUAUUAUGAGCUAGGCCACACGAUGUCGGGGCACAGGGACACGCAAGUCAUCGGUUCUGACCAAACCUUUAAGUCGCCGCUUACGACCAGCAUGGGAUGCUGUGUUAACUGCCCCCCAGACAAACGGUGAUGCCAACCCUUGACCUAGUUGUGUUCACCUGCAGACUAACUAGGUGAUACCCACUCUUGACCUAGUUGUGUUCACCUGCAGACUAACUAGGUGAUGCCCACCCUUGACCUAGUUGUGUUCACCUGCAGACUAACAAGGUGAUGCCCACCCUUGACCUAGUUGUGUUCACCUGCAGACUAACAAGGUGAUGCCCACCCUUGACCUAGUUGUGUUCACCUGCAGACUAACAAGGUGAUGCCCACCCUUGACCUAGUUGUGUUCACCUGCAGACUAACAAGGUGAUGCCCACCCUUGACCUAGUUGUGUUCACCUGCGGACUAACUAGGUGAUACCCACCCUUGACCUAGUUGUGUUGACCUACAUGCCAACUCGACAAUACGUACUCUUGACCUAGUUGUGCUGACCAACACACUAACUCAAUUAUUACUUGAAUGCAGAGGUUCUUUAAUUACGUUGACUUUUUUUUCAUACAUUGGCGCCAAAAGGCUGAGCUGAUAUACAUAAAGUUUAAGAUCAACACAUCCAUUAAAUUUCAAAUUUCUUUAACCUGUCAGCGGCAAACACAAUUCGCUCUUGAAAGUUGUUCACACAGCUUCUGGCAAAACAAGUAACGCUUCCGUUCAGAGCAUUACCAAGAACAGACAGGACACGCUCAUCCUUUUCGCGAACACCUGAUGUCAUCACUGAUUUUCAGUAAUCCAUUCAUAUACUAUUCAUCACUUGUUUGCCUUUUAUGCCUACUGGAAUCUCUUUCUGCAGAUAAUCGAGAUUGUUACUCUCUGGCGAUGACGUUUCAUAUUUCGACCUUGCAUGUUAUUGUAAGUGUUCCAUUGCCAGACAGUCAUGUAGUGCAUGUACAAGAUAAUUUUGGCACUUUGAGCGUUCACUACUUACUAUUACUAAUGGCGGCUUUUAUAGAUGGAAAUGCUUACACACCAACUGAUCUAAUCAAUGGCCGCCGUCUGUAGACAGCUCCACCUGAACCGUGCCUCAUGUAGAGAGACUCCAACAGUGUUACAGAGAAGGGGUUGACUGGCACCUAGCUACCGGAAGGCUACAGUUCGCCCUGUAUUGGGAGGGAUCUACAAAGGGAGCGCCGUGUCCCCAGAUAUAACUACAUACCUAACCCAGUCGUUCAGUGUGUUGUUCAUACCUACCGUUACGUAUCAAUUACUUAUGUGUCGGGGGACAAAUAAUCCACGUCUCUUUAUGUGUGACAGGCCUGAUAACGGUGACGGAAUUGUAACAGGAGGUGAACUGCAGUGAUCCCAGAGUAGAACGACAGGGCCACACGUGACCUUGUAUUCAUAUAUUGAAGGUAGCUUCUGGCCAUGACAGUUUCCGCGCGUCUGAAGGAUGUGGGAGACAGGGUAGCGCUCCUCGGGUAGGGAUGACGUCUGUGUCUCUCGCCACCAGCUCAACUGAACACGGUCUACACAGACUACAGCAAUGGGCAUGCCUCCACUUGUAUUGGCAAUGUGUAUUCUGUUGAACUUAGAGAGUCAGUACACAUUGUCCGAGGUGCAGCUUGAUACAGUCAGUCCCCCCGUGCUGUGCAGAAACCGGGACGGCCUCCAGCCUCUCUACGUGUACACAAUAUACUCAUGUGUAGAAUGCUAUUGGUACUUAUUUUUGGAGGGUGGCAAACUGAACGUGUCAUGUGGAGGUCUGUGCCUCAAGUCUUCCUCCGACUCGACCGUGCGGCCCCAUCCAGACGACCACCACGCCAUGGGCAUAGUGUGUUCGACGUUGUCGGCGACAAACUGCACGUGGUGGACGUCCUGCUGCAGUGACGCCGCUGCAUGCUGUCAGCAACAACAGAAGUCCCGCCAGGUCCAAGAUGGCAGCUUUUGUCCUAUGACAUGGGACGGCUGGUCAUGUGUUGCCGAGACACCUGCAGGGAAUACGGCGGAAAUAAAAUGUCCUGACUUCAUACCAUCGUCUAGAGCAGAAGCUCGAGCACACAGGAAGUGCACAUCUAACGGCACCUGGUGGAGGAAACCCGCGAGCAACACGGAGUGGACUGACUACUCAUCCUGCAUAGAACUUGACCUUAAUGGGGAGACCGCCACCCAGAUCGUGGCCAUCGUGUGUGACGCACUGAGCAUCCUGUUUCUGAUUCCCGCUAUCGCCAUAUUCAUGGGAUUCAGACUGCUGCGCUGCCACCGCCACAUCAAGCUGCACACCAACCUGUGUGUGGCCCUGCUGCUGAAGUCCAUCACCUCGAUGCCGAUGGAGAAGCUUGUGUACUACGACAGCUUGUUUACAGAGCAGAGCAAGACGUUCCAGCAGACCAAUCAGGUGGGAUGUCGGGUCCUCAACGUCCUUGAUCUCCUGUUUCACAUGUGUCCCGUGUUCUGGAUGCUGUGUGAAAGCUUCUACCUCACCUGGCUAAUGAUUCGGUCGUUCCAGCAACUAACAUCCGUCAUCGGGUUCUAUACAUUUGGCUGGGGUACCAGUAUAUGUCAUUGCAAACAGCAAAUCGACCUCUCCUUUCAAGACAUAGGAAUACAGGUUACCAAUACUGAUAGUCGUAAUCUACGUCAUCUUGAAAACACAGGUGGAAGCAGUCAGUCCCUGUUGGCUCACCAGCCCUCUAGGUCUGGACUGGGUUGUCUACGGACCAUCGUUAGUCUGUAUCGCGAUAAAUCUGCUGUUAUUUCUUAUUAUCCUGAAAACCCUUUUCACCCUUCGACGUCAUCCGAGGGAACCAAGCAACUUCAGGAAGGCUCUGAAAGCGACUGUCAUCCUCAUCCCGUUGUUUGGCCUGCAGCAGUUUUGCAUCAUCUAUAGCCCUGCUGACACUGUACCCGGCUUCAUCGUUUACAACAUGGCACGUGCAAUUAUCAUCCACUCUCAAGGCCUUUUGGUAGCUCUCAUAUUCUGUUUCCUUAACACUGAGGUUCAUGGUCAUAUCAACAUGGUCUGGAAGCGGUGGCAUAAUCAGUCCCGACAAAACUCACGCAGGAAUACGGCCACCUUGACCUCAGCUUCUUUGUCA